AUCGAACGCUGGCGGCAUGCCUUACACAUGCAAGUCGAACGGCAGCACGGGUGCUUGCCCCUGGUGGCGAGUGGCGAACGGGUGAGUAAUACAUCGGUACAUGUCCUUUAGUGGGGGAUAGCCCUGCGAAAGCCGGAUUAAUACCGCAUACGAUCUACGGAUGAAAGCGGGGGACCUUCGGGCCUCGCGCUGUUGGGUUGGCCGAUGGCUGAUGAGCUAGUUGGUGGGGUAAAGGCCUACCAAGGCGGCGUUCAGUAGCUGGUCUGAGAGGACGACCAGCCACACUGGGACUGAGACACGGCCCAGACUCCUACGGGAGGCAGCAGUGGGGAAUUUUGGACAAUGGGCGAAAGCCUGAUCCAGCAAUGCCGCGUGUGUGAAGAAGGCCUUCGGGUUGUAAAGCACUUUUGUCCGGAAAGAAAUCCUUGGCCCUAAUACGGUCGGGGGAUGACGGUACCGGAAGAAUAAGCACCGGCUAACUACGUG
rnacentral:rRNA from 1 species